GAUGAACGCUGGCGGCGUGCUUAAGACAUGCAAGUCGAGCGGAAAGGCGAGGAUCUUGCUGCAGGGACGAGAGGCGCGCACGUGUGUGAAACACGUGUAUAACGUACCUAAAUUACUGGUAUAUCGAGGGGAAUGGGGAGCUAAUCCCAUAGAAUAUAUUGAUGCGCGGUGGGGGUUAGUGAGAGUCGGCGGUUCGGGAUGGUAUCGAGGCAUCUGCGCUGCAUUAGCUAGUUGUUAAGGUAACAGCUUAUCAAGGGAACGAUGCGUAGACGACCUAAGAGGGUGAUCGGCCACAUUGGAACUGAGACAGGGUCAAGACUACUACGGGAGGCAGCAGUAGGGAAUCUUCCGCAAUGGGCGAAAGCCUGACGGAGCAACGCCGCGUGAGUGAUGAAGGUCUUCGGAUCGUAAAACUCCGUUACUAGGGAAGAACAAAUGUGUAAGUAACUAUGCACGUCUUGACGGUACCUAAUCAGAAAGCCACGGCUAACUACGUG
rnacentral:rRNA from 1 species